AACCCCUCCUCACGGCCACCAGCAUCACCGUGAUCCCCUGCCCACCCCCUUGGGAGUGGACAGUAUAAGACAGCCAACACGGGACAUCCAGCGCGGCAGAUGAGCUUGAAGUCACCUGUACUCAGUCUGGGUGAAGUGUAAGGGUCCAGCGAAACGUCGGAGAAAGAGACCGCAAGACACUGUCUUAUGCAAAAGCAGAAGGGGUCUCCUGGAUCCUGUGGGAGCCUCUAGGAAUUAGAGACAUCGGUCACAUCAGACUCAGAGUGGCUGUGAGUGGCCUGUGCGGAGCCCAGCUCAGAGCCUGGGCCUGGCAGUGGGGGUCACCAUCAUUGUGUCAUCCGGCUAUGCCGCUUGAGAGCACCGUGGGACUCCUGGCCUUGCUGCUGACCUGCUGCGCACCUGCAGUCAGGAGAGCCUCGGACAACGGCCACUGAAGAGCUUGGCACAUGUGGGUGUCCACUAAGUGAUGCUCGGUGACUGUCACCCCCAGUGGCUGGAGAAGGAGAGAGGCCUGGCUGUACCAACUGGCCUUGUGACCCUUCUGCAGGGGAGAGCCGCCACAGUGUGCCCACCACUGGCCUUGGCAGGGCCUGCUGGCGAGGCUGGCCCUUGGCUGGGGUCCCAGAACAUGCACCACCUCCGUGUCUGACGGCCUGACUGCUGGGCCUCCAAAACUGUGUGGUUUAUGCUGAGCACCACGUUCCUCCUGGGAGGCUGAAUUCUGAGGCAGGAGGAUGGCUGCAUGCUGCGUGGUUUGAAUCCCUCCAGCAAAUCGUCAAACCUGUCAAUGGUCUCCAGGCCCUUGGACAAAACAUCCCUCUGGUUGUCUGGACUCCACACCUGGACGCUCCUGGAACUCUGCCCCUGGCUCUGAGGACCGUCUUACUAGUCCUUGGCCCUCUGUUCAGGUCUCACCUUGACUGAGAGUCCUCAAGGUCGUCACCCUCUUGGAACUACAUUGCCUUUCAUCUCAAAGUCCUGUGGGGCGCCAUGUCCUGAACUGUCCUCAGCUCCCUUCCUAAGAACCGUCCCUGGCUUGAGUUUGGUGACAUGUGUCAGCUGACGACAGCACUUCCUUCGCCUGGGAGUCAAGAUUAGAGCGUAUGAAGUGAGUGUUUUGACACUGGCUCUCCUAUCCUCAAUGCUGUGCUCACUGAAAAGAGGCUUUGGAGGGUAGAAUUUUAAUAGAUACCAAAUUAUUACCUAGCUCCAAAAUAUUUUGACAGUUCUUCGCAGUCAUGGCUGUAGCAGAAUCUCUGUUAAAGUGCCUCUGAGUGGAAUCAGCCUUAGAACUGGGAACCCUAAUUUUAAGUGUGAUUGGAAUUUUACUCCCUCCUAAUAACUGGUUGUUUUAACUUAUUAAUCUCAUCAUCAAAAAUUGAUUUUGUGCCCACUAAGUGUCGCAAACGGAAUAUUCUGGAAAUUCAGUGAAGAGCUGCUCUGGAAGGACUUGGUUCCAUGUUUGCAGCUUGGGCAGGUCUCCUUUGUACCUCCCAGUGUCUAACUGCCCAUUGAGCAUCCUGGGUGUCCACCCUCCUUGGUAGCUCCCGUCUCUCAGGGAAGCUGACCCGAUGCCCAGCCACAGCAGUGAGCCCUGACAGGUCUAAGAUGACCAGAGCAAUCCCAGGCCUUGCCCUGUGGUGGGUCAGCAAAACCAGGCUUAAGCCAAUCAGCACAGACGGGCACAGACCAGCCCAACCAAUGAAAAACAUUUAUUUUCCUUGGAGCUCUCCUUCUGGGUGUGGAAGAAAUUGUGAUUUGAAUUCCCAAACUGCUGAUUACCGGAAGACCAGGGCCAGGCUGGGAAGGACACACCACAGUGAAGAAGACAGAGAGAGACCUUGAUCUAGCCACUCCUGAUGCUUGACCCUGUGAACUUACUGCUUAUCUGAGCCAAUAAAUAGUUUAAAAUAAUUAA